UACGGAGGGUGCAAGCGUUUAUCCGGAUUCACUGGGUUUAAAGGGUGCGUAGGUGGGCAGGUAAGUCCGUGGUGAAAUCUCCAAGCUUAACUUGGAAACUGCCGUGGAUACUAUCUGUCUUGAAUACCGUGGAGGUGAGCGGAAUAUGUCAUGUAGCGGUGAAAUGCUUAGAUAUGACAUAGAACACCAAUUGCGAAGGCAGCUCACUACACGCUUAUUGACACUGAGGCACGAAAGCGUGGGGAUCAAACAGG
rnacentral:rRNA from 1 species